rfam:Lentisphaera araneosa HTCC2155 1101329224567, whole genome shotgun sequence.
GGCGAGAUAGCUCAGUUGGUAGAGCAGGGGACUGAAAAUCCCUGUGUCCCGGGUUCGACCCCCGGUCUUGCCA